AUACACACAAAUAUGUGUGCUAUUGUUUAAUGUCGUAGUUUCUUUGUUAACUUUGUCAUUGUUAAUUUUGCUCCUUUGUUCUCUCCCUUUAAAGUCGCUUGUUUCUGUCUAAUUUGGAUUUCUUAAGUGGAUUUGAUCUUUGAAUUCCGUCUUGUUCAGUUACAUCUCAUUUAUUUUAUUUCCUAGUAUGCUAAUUUCUCGUUAUUGUUUGCAUGUAAAAUCCGUCCGAGUUCGCCAAGAACUCAUUUUCAUUCUUACGUUCUGAGUUGGCCACGGAGGUCCAAAUUUCCUCCUCUCGAGUCAAACCUACAACCGAUGAACAGGUCCCGAAAUGAAGGAAACCUAAGUAGAAGAAUUUGAAGAGAUGGGGCCAAAAGAGCCCAAAUUUAUUUUUUAUUUUUUUGUUAUUUUUUGGUCUUAGCCCUUGUCAUUUUGUAUUAUUAAUAAGAGCAACUUACAAAAAUAACUAUAUGUAUAGCGAAUGAAUAUCAAUAACUAUAAGUCUG
rnacentral:misc_RNA from 1 species